UACGGAGGGGGCUAGCGUUGUUCGGGAUUACUGGGCGUAAAGCGCACGUAGGCGGCUUUGCAAGUCAGAGGUGAAAGCCCGGGGCUCAACCCCGGAAUUGUCUUUGAGACUGCAUCGCUAGAAUUGUGGAGAGGUAAGUGGAAUUCCGAGUGUAGAGGUGAAAUUCGUAGAUAUUCGGAAGAACACCAGUGGCGAAGGCGACUUACUGGACACAUAUUGACGCUGAGGUGCGAAAGCGUGGGGAGCAAACAGG
rnacentral:rRNA from 1 species